UACGUAGGGUGCAAGCGUUAAUCGGAAUUACUGGGCGUAAAGCGUGCGCAGGCGGUUGUGUAAGACAGAUGUGAAAUCCCCGGGCUCAACCUGGGAACUGCAUUUGUGACUGCACAGCUGGAGUGCGGCAGAGGGGGAUGGAAUUCCGCGUGUAGCAGUGAAAUGCGUAGAUAUGCGGAGGAACACCUGCGGCGAAGGCGGGUUGCUGGGCCGACACUGACGCUGAUGCGCGAAAGCCAGGGGAGCGAACGGG
rnacentral:rRNA from 1 species